rnacentral:piRNA from 1 species
UGAAUGGAAGUAACGCACCAUCCCGG